rnacentral:rRNA from 1 species
AUUGAACGCUGGCGGCAGGCCUAACACAUGCACGUCGAACGAGUGGCGGACGGGUGAGUAAUGUCUGGGAAACUGCCUGAGGGAGGGGGAUAACUACUGGAAACGGUAGCUAAUACCGCAUACCAUCGGAUGUGCCCAGAUGGGAUUCGCUAGUAGGUGGGGUAAAGGCUCACCUAGGCGCCGAUCCCUAGCUUGUCUGAGAGGAUGACCAGCCACACUGGAACUGAGACACGGUCCAUACUCCUACGGGAGGCAGCAGUGGGGAAUAGUGCACAAUGGGCGCAAGCCUGAUGCAGCCAUGCCGCGUGUAUGAAGAAGGCCUGCGGGUUGUAAAGUACUUUCAGCGGGGAGGCGGUACCCGCAGAAGAAGCACCGGCUAACUCCGUGCCAGCAGCCGCGGUAAUUC